UCCGGUUUGUCACCGGCAGUCUCAUUAAAGUGCCCAACCAAAUGAUGGCAAUUAACGACAAGGGUUGCGCUCGUUGCGGGACUUAACCCAACAUCUCACGACACGAGCUGACGACAGCCAUGCAGCACCUGUGUCCAGGCUCCCUUUCGGGCACUCCCAAAUCUCUUCGGGAUUCCUGGCAUGUCAAGGGUAGGUAAGGUUUUUCGCGUUGCAUCGAAUUAAUCCACAUCAUCCACCGCUUGUGCGGGUCCCCGUCAAUUCCUUUGAGUUUUAACCUUGCGGUCGUAAUCCCCAGGCGGGGUGCUUAAUGCGUUAGCUACGGCACGGAGGGAGUGGAUAACCCCCCACACCUAGCACCCAUCGUUUACGGCGUGGACUAC
rnacentral:misc_RNA from 1 species